UACGGAGGAUCCAAGCGUUAUCCGGAAUCAUUGGGUUUAAAGGGUCCGUAGGCGGUUUUUUAAGUCAGAGGUGAAAUCCUGCAGCUCAACUGUAGAAUUGCCUUUGAUACUGAAAGACUUGAGUUAUUGUGAAGUGGUUAGAAUGUGUGGUGUAGCGGUGAAAUGCAUAGAUAUCACACAGAAUACCAAUUGCGAAGGCAGAUCACUAACAAUAUACUGACGCUCAGGGACGAAAGCGUGGGUAGCGAACAGG
rnacentral:rRNA from 1 species